rnacentral:rRNA from 1 species
AUUGAACGCUGGCGGCAGGCCUAACACAUGCAAGUCGAACGAGUAGCGGACGGGUGAGUAAUGUCUGGGAAACUGCCUGAUGGCGGGGGAUAACUACUGGAAACGGUAGCUAAUACCGCAUACCAUCGGAUGUGCCCAGAUGGGAUUAGCUAGUAGGUGGGGUAAAGGCUCACCUAGGCGACGGUCCCUAGCUGGUCUGAGAGGAUGACCAGCCACACUGGAACUGAGACACGGUCCAGACUCCUACGGGAGGCAGCAGUGGUGAAGAUUGCACAAAGGGCGCAAGCCUGAUGCAGCCAUGCCGCGUGUAUGAAGAAGGCCUUCGGGUUGUAAAGUACUUUCAGCGGGGAGGCGUUACCCGCAGAAGAAGCACCGGCUAACUCCGUGCCAGCAGCAGCGGUAAUAC